rnacentral:rRNA from 1 species
UACGUAGGGGGCAAGCGUUGUCCGGAAUUAUUGGGCGUAAAGAGCGCGUAGGCGGUCCGAUAAGUCGGCUGUGAAAGUCAAGGGCUCAACCCUUGAAAGCCGGCCGAUACUGUCGGACUAGAGUCCGGAAGAGGCGAGUGGAAUUCCCGGUGUAGCGGUGAAAUGCGCAGAUAUCAGGAGGAACACCGGUGGCGAAGGCGGGUCUCUGGGCAGUAACUGACGCUGAGGAGCGAAAGCGUGGGGAGCGAACAGG